UAUACACUAUCCAAUGUGUGUGGUACUCAUAUUAGAUAUACUAGAGCACGUUAACAUCCAAUGUAUGUAAUGUUCUGAUUAGAUAAAGUAGACAACGUUAAGGAUGUGGUUAGUGUUAUGUGCAGACGUGCACAGCAUAUUGAAUUUGGAAUACAGAUUUUUAGUGCAGACUUUGUAUCACGUGUUGAAAAGUGCAAGGUUUCGUUUUUUACAAAAUGACCACUGUUAUUUUGAUGAUUUUGCUAUCGGAUCGUCAGUGAACGUGACCACAAUUGACAACAGCGAUGCCAGUUGGAAAGUUGGUAGACGUGUCGUUGAACUGGAUACAUUGGCCGAAUCCCUUUCAGCAUGCAGUUCUUGUCAAGUGCCUAUAUAUUUACUGAACACCGUAGAACGCAGGGAUUUUGGACUGGCAUGUGUAUUGGACAUACCGUGUUGCAAUUAUGGGGCAAUAAAUAAUGUGGCUUCUGGACGGAAACAUGGCAGAGUUUAUGACAUGAACACAAAGCUUGCUUUGGCCAUGGUUGAGGCUGGUGUCGGGGUCAGACAAAUAAACAGUAUUUUGUCAACUUUAAAUAUACCAGCUGUCAACCACACCAUGCUCAUCAGAACUUGACCAAAACGAGGCUGGACAAGCUGUCGAAGAGGUGGCAAAGUCAAGUGCCGAUACAUUCUUGCAAUAAGAAGUGCAUUUGAAUGAAAUGCCUAACAAUGAGAUUGAUGUCAGUGUGGAUGCAGGAUGGCAGAAAAGAGGCAGUGGAAGGGCGUUUGAUAGUUUGUCAGGACACUGCUCAAUGGUCGGCACGAAGACUGGCAAGGUCUUGGCAUAUGCAGUCCGUAGCAAAACCUGCAGAGUAUGCAGUCAGCACAAGAAAAAAGAGCGUACUUCUCACAUAAUUCAGAUAGCUGCAGUGCAUACAACUGGUAAGUUUUCAACAUAUGUGAUACCAUAGAAGAAGAUGUCCUUGAAAGCAUCAGAGAUAACUGGAGUGACUGUUAUUGGCGAGUCUAUGCUUGUCAAGGGACAAACAGUAACAGCUGUCCCAAUCUAAUCUGUAUUGACAAGUUUUAUAACAUUCUUACAGAAAUGUUCACCAGUUAUUUUAGUUGGGCAUAAUAUAGAGUCUUUUGAUUGUAAAUUGUUGCUCUAUGCUAUCCAUAAUCGUGGAAAAAUGUUUGAGUUUCAGCAAAAUACUUGUGGCUUUUU